rnacentral:lncRNA from 1 species
UCUCUCUUAAAUAUUUACCACUAUUUUAUACAUUCAUAUAUAAAUGUCUAGCACUUCACAUUUUUAUAAAAUGUGAUGAUAAUACUGUUAAAGAUAUGUCUUCUUUUUUAUUGGUUUAGUUCAUACACCGGGUUUAUGGAAAAAUAAAAAGAUCUCAUGAGAAUUUAUUUUGGUGGAUCCUAAUUUAUAUUGGAAUCCUAAGUGGACUAGGAUUGGUUUCCAUAUAAGACUCUAUAUUCAAUUAUCAUAUCGAAUUAGAGUAGGAUUGAACUAAUGCAUCCAUGUAUAAAUAUGCAUUGGAACGUCGAGGAGCGCCGUGUGGUGGCCAAAAUUAAUUAAAGACGCUAAUUAAUUAAAGGUGGCCGGCUCUAAUAGAGGGAUGUACGGUUUCGUGGGUGCAUGGUGUGGAGGCCAAAUUAAUUAGCAUUCGGUGACUAGCUAAUUAAUUAAAGAUGCCCUGUCCGUACGGUUAAAGAAGAGAGGUUUGCUCGCAUGCGACGGAUUGAGGUCGGCGGCGGAGCGGUGGUUCUCGAUCAAUUGCCUGAGCGGUUCGGAUUCUUCGAAACAACGACAUAAAAGAAUUUAGUUAGAGUUUCUAUACUUCUCAAAUUUGGUUUUCUCGGUUUUACGAAAAACUUUUUCGAUAUUUUUUUGGAGUUUUUUUUUUUGUUGUAACAAGAGAAAUGUGGGAUUUACCAUAAGGCUCUUCAUUUUUUAUCCGGAGAAGACAUAAGAUGUAAGCUUGUACUUCUAUUUUUUCAUAUAGUGGAAUACAUCUCUCUUGCUCUCCCCAUAGAUGUAGGCAAUUGCCGAACCACGUAAAUCUUGAUUUCUUCUUUCUGCAUUUAUUUCUUUUACCGCUCGUUCGGUGUUUUCUCUAUUUUUCGUACAUCUUUGUUAGUAGCGCAUGACGGACGAUCCAUCCGGUUCCCAACAAACACAAUAGCGUUUAAUUAAAGCAUACCAUGGGUUAUUUUCAUUAAGGUAAAUUAGGUCUGGAUCUUACUCUUUCCUUUGUAAAGUAUCACACAUACUACAAGCUUUUCUCUUAAUUUAAUCAAUUUUUUAUAUAUUUAUAUAUGUUUGGCACUUUUACAUUUUCAUAAGAGGUGAUGUUGCAUAGAAUGGUGUUCAAUUGAACAAAAUAGAUCGUACUUGCAUUAUUUUCGAACUUUGAGAAAAAAAAGUAGUUCUGGAUUUUACUCUUCCCUUCUUAAGAGUAUUACACAUAUUAUUAGCAUUUUAUGAUGAGGCAACUUGCCUGCAGCCUUAGGGCUAGGGCAACAGUUGCAUCCUUUCGCUCUCAAUAAGAUUUCAGCAAAAGAAAAGAAGAGCAAAAACUAAUUUUGCUAUGUAGCGAACUCAUCAACUAUGUAUUGUUGUUUGGAAUAAUAAAUGACAAUAUGCUCUUAUUUUCUUUUUCAUUUCUCUAAACGUCUUUCCUCUUUGUCGUCUUGAGCCUUUUUAUAUACUUAUAUUUUCCUUCCAUUUUUCUAAUCGAACAUGCAUUCCUUUUUGUCAUCUUGAACGAUUUUAUUCUUAGUCUGUCCUAUUAUUUUUAGAUGUGUUAAAAUAAUUAAACUGCCCAGGCUCUUUGUUUCUCAGAUUGGGCCUUAGAGUUGCUCGUCAUAAGUCACACAUAUAAUUUAUCUUGCACAUGCCAUACUUUUGGUAGAUAAAUGAAUAUUUCUUUAGGUGAAAAAUAUAUAGUUUAAGUAUGCACACUUAAAAUUAUAUAGAUUUUUUCUCAGUAAUCACGCUAUUAUGGGAGAUCUGUCCGUCGGAUUUGCAAAUGGGCUGCGCCAGCUCUUCCGGUACUGUCGAACCAUCGAAACCACAAUUUUGUUUUAUUGCCUAAACUGGUCGCAGAUUCGCGACGAAACUAAUCAUCUCUNUAUAUAUAUAUAUAUAUAUAUAUAUAUAUAUAUAUAUAUAUAUAUCAAAUUUAAAUAAGAAUUCAAAUUCAAAUUUGAAUUUUUCUUGAUUCAAAAAUCUCAGAUAUUAGAUUCCUGGAAUUGGAGAUUUUGUUGGAAUUCCUGCAAGUUUUGGAGCAAUCUGGUGGUUCUUUGGAGCCUUUUUUUUGUUGGAUUAGCAUUUCUAGGUGGGUUUUAUUCACCGUAGAUGAUAGAAUUCUCACACUGUCUAUAAUUUCAUGCAUACUGAUUAUUAGUAUUCAAGAAUCCCGAUUACAUGAUGUUUCAUCCAUGUUUCCAAGCCUGCAGUAAUCUGCAUAUUGAUGGUAUAGAGUACACAUGUUAGGAUGAUGUUCCAACUAUGGUUUAGUAUACUUGUAAUAAUCAGUUUGUGAGGAAAUUUAUGGAACCUGAUACUAGUCCAUGUCAUCGCAUAUACCUACGCUAUGCAUUUUUUUUUUAUUUUAUGUCAGGUUGAUUGGCAAUGUUCUCUCAUCAGUCGCAGCCAUCUAGUUGCAUUCCACAUUGUGUCGAGGGCACAUGAAUAGCGCUUUCUAUGAUAUAGUUGAUCAUUUGCGUUGACUACAAUCUGUAAAAGCUGUAUUAAUACACACUGUAUACUUAGUGUGGUCGCGCCCCUUAAGUACCGCUCUAGAGUCUGACUUUAGCAUUGAUGUUGCAACAACCCUAGUGAGCGACCUACGUUUUAAUCGGGCGCCAGCAAAAGUGGUUCUGUAGCAGUAGGUAGGCGUAGCCUUGACUGGAUCCUCCGGUCAAUAAGCGAGAUUGGAUUAUAGUUGGCCUUGACUAGAUCCUCCAGUCAAUAAGUGAGAUUGGAUUAUAGUUGAGAGUAUCUAUAGUUUGUUGAUGCAUGCUAUUCAUCAGUUUCUAGUUUGAGCAUCUACAGUAUAGAGGCAUGGUAGCCGUAGAUUUCUUUUUCAGCUUAUAUCAGUAUAUCUUGCUUUACCGUUAAGUUACAAUUCUCUAUUCUUGCCUCUAGUAGAUCUAGUGGGUAGGAAGUUGACGUCCGUAACGGUACCCACUAGGAACUACUUAUUUAAUAAAUUGUCACGCCCCGAGGUCCUUUUUGGUUUAAAAAUCGAUGCGCGGAAGUGCCCAAUUUUUUUUUUUUUUGAAAGCCUUGACCCCAGAGGACGUCAGAUCCGCCACAAAUACAGGAAGCCACUGUUCACACGGACAGAGUCUCCCCUGUAUAUGCACAACGUAGCACAAAUACAAGAUACAACCACAAUGUAUAACCAUACACAUACAAUCACCACAUCAUAUAUACCAUUUUACACUUAUCCAAUCACCAGUUUAUCAUAUUUUUAUCAUAAAUCCAAAACUCCUUUUAAAACUAUUUUCCACACGAAAACCUUUUCUUUUAAAAACACGCUACCACGCAGGGUAGAACAUCAUUUUCAUCUCAUAAGAAAACCAUAAGUACUUUAUUAUUUUCACAAAACCAUAAACAUUCACUUGAUUAAAACCACUGAACCAUAAAGUGUCUAAGUUAGUAAACAGAAAUAGUAAAGGUAGAGACUAAACCGAUGGACCGAGUCGAAAGCUCUACGACCACUAAUCACGCGCCUCACGUACCGUCCCGACUCGGACCAGCAAUGUCACCUGAAAGAGGGGUGGGGGUGAGAAUAUGUACAUAUGUCUCCCCUCCCAGUGGGUACCGUAAGCCGACGAAGGCGGGGAGUACUCACCGGUACAGGAAGAGAUAAACAAAGUCAUGAGUAGAUAUCACAAGUACAGUAGCAAUAAAACUGAAAGGAAGGUUGAACAGUACUAAAACAUAUAACUACCGCUACUGUAAAGUAGAACCAAAUGCAUACAUGGAUAUCAAAGAUGUGGUAUCCCUGGUGUACAGCUGUUGAGGCUUGUCGACAGCUCUGGAGAGUGUCGGGACAAGUCCGAGUCGUGUUGGCGCGAAAUAGACGCAAAACAGACUCAGCGGGGACGCGAGAGCAGGACUUAGCUUUGAAUUGUAGAUUUUCUGCUUGUUGUACCGAUACAAUUAUCAAGGCAUACCGGUACACUUUCUGUACCGGUACAACCAACAGCGGUGUACCGGUACACUUCACCAGGAUUUUACGCAGCUGCUCUCGGGUUGCCAUUUGUACCAGUACACGGGCAAAAAUUACCCUACGCAUAACUUGGAGCUUGCCGCGGUAAUCUUUGCUUUGAAGUUGUGGCGGCAUUACUUGUACGACGAGCACUGCGAGGUUUUCACCGAUCAUAAAAGUCUCAAAUAUCUGUUUACUCAGAGGGAGCUGAACCUUAGGUAGCGCCAGUGGUUGGAGUUACUGAAGGACAAUGACGUUAGUAUUCAGUAUCAUCCCGGCAAGGCGAAUGUGGUAGCAGAUGCGUUGAGCAGGAAGGCCGUGUAGAGCUUCGGUUUGAUGAUCACACAGCAGAGGCCGUUACUCGAGGAGCUGCAGUGGCUGAGACUCGAGAUAGUGUCCCUUGGAUCUACUGCGAGACUGAAGUCUUUAGUUUUGCAGCCCACUCUGUUGGAUAGGAUCCGAGAGAAACAGAGUGGAGAUCCACACUUGUUGAGAAUUUGAGAGCAGUUAGAUAGGGGACAGGCUGAGGGCUUUAUAGUAGACAGUUCGGGAGUACUACGGUACAGGGACCGACUGUGUGUGCCUAUGGAUUCAGAGAUCCGAGCAGAUAUUUUGAGAGAGGCUCAUUGUGCUCCUUAUACGGUUCACCCUAGUGGAACCAAGAUGUAUAAGGAUUUGAAAGCACAGUUCUGGUGGAACGGAAUGAAGAGGGACAUUGGCAGAUUUGUGGCUCAGUGUCUAACUUGUCAACAGUUAAAGGCCAAGCAUCAGAUCCCUGCUGGCAAGUUUCAGAGUCUCUCAGUGCCCGAGUGGAAAUAGGAGCAGAUCAUAAUGGACUUCGUCGUGGGAUUAAUUACCGAGAGCACAGGGUGGUUUCGAUGCUAUUUGGGUGAUAGUGGACAGACUGGCUAAGUCUGCUCACUUCCUACCAGUUCAGACCACUUGGUCCAGAGAGAGACUCGCACAGCUAUACCUGAAUGAGAUUGUCAGGCUGCAUGGUGUGCCGAGGUCGAUUGUAUCUGACUAAGACCCGAAGUUUGUUUCACACUUUUGAAGGAGUCUUCAGACAGCCUUGGGUACACAAUUGCACUUCAGCAUGGCGUUUCACCCACAGACAGAUGGUCAGUCAGAGCGGACCAUACAGACUCUAGAGGACAUGCUAAGGGCAUGCGUCCUGCACUUUGGUGGAGGGUGGCAUCGACAUUUGAAACUGGCUAAGUUUGCGUACAAUAACAGCUAUCAAACGAGCAUCCAGAUGGCUCCGUUUGAGGCGUUGUAUGGACGCAGAUGUCGAUCCCCUUUGUUUUGGAGUGAUGUGGGUGAGAAGAAGACGCUAGGACCUGAGAUCUUACUAGAGGCUGAGGAAAAUGUGAGAGUAGUUCGACGACACCUUUUGACAGCUCAGAGCCGCCAGAGGAGCUACGCCGAUACCAGGAGACGAGACUUAGAGUUCUAGGUUGGAGAUCAUGUUUUUCUCAAAGUCUCGUCGUCCAGAGGGAUUGGCAGAUUCGGAGUGGGUGGAAAGCUCAGUCCAUGUUUCGCUGGCCCUUUUGAGAAAUUGGAACGAAUUGGACCGGUUGCUUAUAGGAUUGCUCUACUUCCCCGACUAGCCGGUAUCCACGAUGUAUUCCACGUCUCGGCUUUGAGGAGAUAUAUUUUCGAUCCUUCUUACGUGAUCGACUUCACUCCAUUAGAGAUUGGCGAGGAUCUGAGAUAUGAGGAAAGACCGUUGCAGAUUCUUGCUCGGGAGAUGAAAGAAUUACACAACCGGAUCAUCCCAUAUGUAAAAGUACAGUGGAGUAAUCACGAGGAGUAGGAGGCAAAUUGGGAGCGAGAGACGGUGAUGAGGGAGUCUUAUCCCUACUUGUUUGAUGCUUAGGGUUGAGGUACGUGUUAAGUUUCGAGGACGAAACUUUUUGUUAAUGGGGGAGGAUGUGGCAUCCCUGGUGUACAGCUGUUGAGGCUUGUCAACAGCUCUGGAGAGUGUCGGGAUAAGUCCGAGUCGUGUUGGCGCGAAAUAGACGCAAAACAGAUUUAGCGGGGACACGAGAGCAGGACUUAGCUUUGAAAAUCUGUAAAUUACAGAUUUUCUGCUUGUUGUACCGGUACAACCAUCAAGGCGUAACGGUACACUUUCUGUACCGGUACAACCAACAGGGGCGUACUGGUACACUUUGCCAGGAUUUUGCGCAGCUGCUCUCGGGUUGCCAUUUGUACCGGUACAACUGCUCUUGUACUGGUACACCAGGAUAGGUGAAGGGCAGUUUGGUCUUUUCCUUCCUCGUUCGUGUCACCCACCUACUCCCUGCUAUAUACUUGUAUAGGAGGAGCAGAGAGGGAGACUUUUGGGUUGUUCUUUUCCUCUCUCUCUCUAGCUUGGAUCGUGAGCAAGGAGGAGCUCAGGUGGAGUUGGUUCGUCGUCGAUGUCGUGCCGCGGUGCCGUUCGAGCGUAUAUUCGUCAUCGUAGCAUCGCGAGGAGGUCGGGCGAGGGUGCGAUUCCGCCGUUCUCGACGUCGUGCCGGAUUGGGAUUAGCUAUCGAGGUGGGUAAAGCGUCGGUUAUCUUCUAAGUAUAUAGAUUGUCGACAUGUGUUGUUAUAUUGUUUCGUUGAGAGAAAUUGCUCGAUUCAUGGAUUUUGGCAUGUUUAACUGUAGAAUCUGGAGCUUAGUAUUGCGACUAAGUAUUUACACAUGAUGGACUUGGAUAUGACUUAGGAGAAAACCUGCGAUUUGAACCUGUCACAUGCUUAAACUAUCUGAUUUAGCUCUAGGAGUCGUUGUUAUUUUGUAUCGCCGCAGUAUCGGCGUGGUGGAUACCCCAGGUAGUUUAGAUUUCAGUUACGCUCGCGCUGGAAUGCCGAGUGUAUUUUUACAGUAGCACUCAGACUGUUCCGGACUGUUGGGGGCCGUCGGGGUUGAUGGUGGACCUCUAUCGCCGUUUUGGCGUGAGAUUGUGCUGAGAGCACAUGACCUGUUGGUUGUUAGACCAGUUGGACCCUAUUACUUGACUUCAGCUUGUGAGAGCCUGAUUGAGCUCGACAGAGAUACGCUGCAUACUCGGUUGGGUAGCUCCCACGAGUGCCACUCCGGAGACGGGCAUUGUGCUUUCGCGUUAGUGUCGUUCGUGCAGGUUGGACUUGCUCUCUACGGACCGCUUAGUGUGGAGGUAGCUGUAUAGUCGCAAUCGGGCAGGACACGUGUGUUCACAGUCCCAAGGACGGGUAGGCUUACUAUAACACACUGGACCUGUGCAAAUUGCGAGGUUUGAGUGAUUGGAUGUGUUUCGAGCUUCUCCACACUGGUGGAGGGUCGUAGAAUGUUUUCCGACCUAAGAAGUUCGAAAACCUGUGUUCGGGACGAGUCUUGAGAGUUUUCACUCUCGGGGACCGGUCCCUGAAAGGAGAGACCGGUCCCCCAGUGAACAGUGCUGCGCAGCCGGCGAGGCAACCGGUCCCGCGCAGGGAGAGACCGGUUCCCGAACGUUGGUUUUUCGGGUUCGCAGCGAGAGACCGGUCCCUGCUGGGGAGAGACCGGUCCCUCUGGGCGAAAACUGCCCAGACCGGGCUGAUGUAAUAUUUUUUUUUUGAGGGGCCUCUUGGGAUUUUGUUGCAAUAGAUGGUCUAUAUGACCCAUCCAUCCUCCUUUCUCCUCAUUUCCCUCCUCACACUCUCCCCACACCCUUGCUAGAGAGAGAAGAAGGAGAAGAAGAGGAAGGAGAAGAAGAGGAGAAGGAUCUAGCUUGGGCUUGAAGCAUUCCUUUGCCUUUCUUCCUCUUCCCACCUUGUUGGUGCUUGAAGGCUUGGACUUGGAGCUUGCAAAGGAGAAGAUCUUCACCCUUGGAGCUUGGAUUGGAGUUCUCUUGAGGUUGGUUGUUUGUUUCUUCCCUCUAGACCUAGCUUUGAUGGAUUUUAGGGGAUGAAACCCUAGAAUGGGAAAUCUAGGGUUUAUUUGGGGCUUUUUGAUUGAAGGUUUUUUGGGCUAAUCUAAUGAGAUUAGAACCUUGGUUUAGGUUGCUUUGGAAGGAUCCUAGCUUUCUCUUGGAGCUUGAGAGAGAGAUUCUACUCCUUAGGUGAGUUUUUGCCCUAUUCUUGUGAUUGUUAAUGUUUGAGCCUAGAGUUGCUCGUAAUGCUUGUGUAUCUCUUCGCUGAUCACUUUAGGGAUUUUAGACUCUGUGAACUUCGUUCGGCCGAAACGAAGCCUUACGCGACGAUUCGGCUUGGGUUUGACCUAGCUUUAAUAUGAGAAAUUGAUAUAUUAUGGUGAUAAAUGUUCGUAAAAUGGACAGCAGCAUAUUCCACUAAUGUUAUAUUUUUUAUUUUGGAAGGCUUAAGAUGCCUAUGUAUACGAUGUGUAUGAAAUUUUGCAGUUCCUUAUGUAGUAGAGCAUAAGUUAUAAGGCUCUGCGCGCGAUUUUGGCAUCCUUUAUGUGGGAUUAUGUUCUUGUGUGAUAAAUUGAGCUUGGAUUCAUGUAUUGAACCUAGUUUAAUUGAGCAUGAAAGUAACAAAAUUAUGCCUUAAAAAGGCACCAACUGAUGUCAAUAUGAUUUAGAGAGCUAAAUGUCAUCAGAGCGCAUUGAGCUCGGGACAUGGUUGGAACUAGUUAAUAAGAGCCUGAGGGGAUUGGGAACAUGUUGAACUUUAAAUUGUUAAGUUUCAAGGGCACAUAGGCAUAUAAAUGUUGGGACUUCGACUUGUGAUUAAAAUAGUCUUUCGAGGAUGCUAUGGACAUUAUACCAUGUUAGAGACAUGGAUGAUUGCGAUACUUGGAGCGGUUGACUAGCAUUGACUUGCAAUUGUGCUCAUAUCGAACUGCUUGUGGAGAGUCGGCUCCUACAUAGCUGGCACUCGAGUUAGCUAACGCGACUUAUUUUGUUCGUGCAGUAUUGAGAAGCCUACGGGUCGAGUGGGACAGACACAUUCCAGAGUAGGAUGUUGUCUACCAAGGCCUUAGCACACAAGCCUGACUACUGUUGGUAGGUCCUUAAUUGGAAAUGGAAACGACACAGUGUGAGAAUGAACUAAAUCACUAUAGAAAGGCUUAGUGUGGCAUUAAUCUUGACAUUGCUCAAUUACAUAGCAUUGGGGAUAUUAGUUAUACUUGCCUGUUUCAUUUCAUUGUAUCAUCAGUACUAUGGGUUGCGUUUGUAGAGCUUACUCCUUUUGUAUUGACAUAUUGCAUCGUGAGGUUUACUUGUUAUGGCAUAUUAGUAUGCAUUGGACAUAUUAUCUUAUGAUAGCGUAGAUGUACAUCACCAUGACAUCAUGCUUACUCGAGACAUAGUAGUAUAGCAUUUCAUUUAUGCUUUCUUUCAGCAGGUCUUACUCGCUCUUUAUUGUUUAUUAUUAUUGUCGUUACUUACCCUUUUCUUUUGGGGCCUAGUGGUGCAUUGAGCUGACAUCAGUAAUUGCCCAUUUGGAACUAUAAAUUAUAAUUCUCACGCCCUCUAUUUUAUGUUUUCUUUCAGAGCCUUCCACGCCGGGAGAGGCUAGGGACCGAGGGAAGGGCGUGGCUUCGAGCUAGCUCUUCAGCGAGUGACGAGUCGCUAGGUAAUCUUCCUCUCUAUGUUUUUAUUUUGGAGAGGUUGAGAGCUGUACCAGUGUACUAGAGACCACCCCUUUUGUGUACCUUUAUGGACAGACAUUGUAUAUCUUUAUGUUUCACUCUUUUCGCUUUAGUAAACCUCUUUUACUUUAUUAUAGACUAUAGAUCUAUCCGUGCUCUGAUAUCUCUAGAUGUAGAUUACUUUUGAUUUUAUUUUCUGCUGUUGUUGUAGACGCCUUAUAUGUGCUGACAUAUGGCGGGUCUGGCCACGCUACCGGGUGGGCCUCUGCCGGUCCCGGGGCGUGACAAAUUAUUUUGGUAUCAGAGUCUAGGGUUGAGUCUUAGAGGACCUAGGAAACCUUAGGCCGGUUGGAUUAUAGGAACUAGGCUCGUGCGAGACGAGGUCUAUUGACUUGUGAGCAAAAGUAUUUUGAUUGGGUUUGGUGAUAACUCUAAAAAGUUAGAGUUUGACCGGAGUGUAUGGCUUCUAACUUCGCGGAGGGUACGUUGGCGGCCGACAACGUAACAUCGGGAGUUAGUAGCGAAGGACACUUCCUUGCUUUCGCAAGAUUUGGGUUUAUCUAUUUGAGCGGGGAUUUGAUAGCGCGGGUUACUAACUUGCGCUUUUAUGUUCUGUAUUGACGAUGCCGAUUACACGCUCCCAGUCUGCCGGGGCGGAUGAUGCGGCACACCCUGAGGAUGCCGAGACCUCCGCUACUUUCGGAUCUAGUGAGGUCCGUGAUUUGAGGACCCAGCUUGCGGCCCUCACUGAUCUGUUGGCGCAGCAGACGGCAGCGGCGCAGCGACAAGCUGAGGUGGCUCAGCGACAGGAGGCACGGAUGAAGCAUCUUGAGGACCUCCUACUUCAGCAGGCAGCAGCUUCGAGGGAAACCCAGGGUCCCACACUGCCAGCACCCGUGGUGGACGUCGCACCGAGAGCGCAGUCCCCCGCGCCCAGUUCUUCACGUGCGGCACCGGCGACCACACCUCGGGAGGAGGUGGCUGCGGUACCUCCAGUUCAGAGACCGGCCACGGAGGCAGCUUUCCCCGUAAGGGCCGAGGGAGCCGAGCGGGAUCGGCUCAUGGAUCGCCUCAGUGAGUUUAGGAGGUGCAGCCCGAGGACGUUUGAUGGCGAGAACGUUGACCACUGGAUUGUUGAGAAGUGGUUGAUGCACAUGGAGAAGCUUUUUCGAGAUACCUUUGUGGAUGAGAGGGACAGAGUGUGGCUCGCCGCACACUUCUUGGACGGCGAGGCCUACCGUUGGUGGUUGGAUAUUCUGGACAACCCCAACACUGAUUUGGCAGCGAUCUCUUGGGCGAGGUUUAAGGAGAUGCUUCUGCCGCACUACUUCCCGACCAGCGCCAAGAGGAAGAUGGAGCAGGAUUUGCACAGCUUGCGCCAGGACGAGCGGUCAGUGGCCAAGUACGAGAGGGAGUUUUCCCGGCUACUUCACUGUGUACCGUUUGUUGUGAGGGACGAUGAGGACAAGGCCCGCAUUUUUUAGCGUGGAUUGCGGCCUUCGAUCUUCCGGUUGGUGCAGUCCUCCAACCUCCAAACCUACCGAGAGGUUGUCGACCGUGCACUCCUUGUGGAGGCUGGAGCGGCAGACCUUCAGGAGUGAUGCGAGGCCCUAGACAAGGGCAAGGGAAAGAGGCCCGCGGCUGAGGGUGUGAGCCAGACGCACUCACGGAGGCCGCCGAGGCAUCCAAGGAGCCGGAGCCAGUCGCGAAGACGUGGCUAGUCUACUCAGCGAGGAGGACCCGAUAGUCGCCAGGCUCCCUGCUGCGUGAUCUAUGGCGGUCCUCACUACCCGCGGCAGUGUUCACACAGCCGGGGCAGGUGCUUCUUGUGUGGCCAAGAGGGCCACUUUCAGUCGGACUGCCCGAGAGGUUCAGCGCCAGCGCUAUCUUCGGCAUCCGCACCAGCGUCGCCAGGUCCCAGUCAGGGGAUAUCUUCUGCGCAUCACCUGGCAGGACGGCCGCCAGUUCAGCGGCAGGGGGACGGGUCACGACAGGCCCCGAGUGGGCCCAUGUAUGCGGCCCAGACUGAGGAGGCGGCAGCAGCCGAGAAUGUGGUCGCAUGUAUCAUUUUACUUUAUGGUAUUCGAGUUAGAGCCUUAUUUGAUACCGGUGCAUCGCAUUCAUUUAUAUACCGGCUGUUUGCCGAGUUGCAUGGCAUCCCACUUGUAUCCUUGUUGCAUCCAGGACGAGUUGUUGUACCCGAUCAUUCUUUGGACAUUCGGGAGUUUUGCCCUAGUUGCCCUGUUCGGGUUGGAGAUUGGAUCAUGCCCGUAGACCUUUUAGUGGUGCAUAAACUCGGGGAGUUUGAUGUUGUCUUGGGCAUGGACUGGUUGACUAAGUACUGUGCCACUAUCGAUUGCAAGGAUCGAACGGUGACUUUUAGAGAGCCGGGGUAGGCUGAGGUUGUGUACCGAGGAUGCCAGAGUUCGCUUUUUGCGAUGACGAUUAGCUCUUCUCGAGCUCGGCAGUUGAUUAGUAGAGGCUACGUAGCCCUUUUGGUUACUGUUGUGUUGAGGGGUGAUGAUGAUGCCCCCAAGAUUGAGGACAUCCCCGUAGUACGGGAGUUUGGAGAUGUGUUUCCAGCUGAGCUUCCAGGCAUGCCACCUGAUAGGGAGAUUGAGUUUGUGGUAGAUCUCGUUCCCGGGACUACCCCGAUCUCAAAAGCACCCUAUAGGAUGGCACCAGCAUAAUUGAAGGAGCUGAAGGCAUAGUUACAGGAUCUUUUGGACAAGGAUUUUGUGCGACCGAGUGUGUCACCUUGGGGAGCACCGAUCCUAUUUGUCAAGAAAAAGGAUGGAUCGCUUCGCUUGUGCGUGGAUUAUCGUAAACUCAAUAAAGUCACGAUUAAGAACAAGUAUCCAUUACCGAGGAUUGAUGAUCUAUUUGAUCAGCUCCAGGAAUCUUGUGUAUAUUCCAAGAUUGACUUGCAGUUGGGAUAUCACCAGUUGAAGAUCAAGCCUGAGGAUGUGUCAAAGACGGCUUUUAGAACACGGUAUCGGCAUUACGAGUUUACCGUUAUGCCGUUUGGGCUUACUAAUGCCCCGGCCGCCUUUAUGGAUUUAAUGAACCGUGUUUUCAAGCCUUAUUUAGACAGGUUUGUCGUGGUGUUCAUCGACGACAUUUUGGUCUAUUCCAGAAGUGAUGCGGAUCACGAGGAACACUUGAGACUUGUACUUCAAGUGCUUCGCGAAAAGCUCUAUGCCAAGUUGAAAAAGUGUGAAUUUUGGCUUAGAGAAGUGGCGUUUUUAGGUCAUUUGAUUUCAGGAUCGGGGAUAACUGUAGAUCCAAGAAAAAUUGAAGCUAUCAAGGAUUGGCCGAGGCCGACGAGCGUGACCGAAAUACGGAGCUUUAUUGGUUUGGCCGGCUACUACCGACGUCGAGGGAUUUGCAAAGUUAUCUACUCCCGUCAUGAGGCUCACGCAUAAAGGGACUAAGUUCAUUUGGAAUGACGCGUGUGAAAGGAGCUUCCAAGAGUUGAAGCAGAGAUUGACGACCGCCCCGAUCCUUACCUUGCCGACUGCUGGAGCAGGGUAUGUGAUUUAUAGUGAUGCUUCCUUUAAUGGAUUGGGCUGUGUUCUGAUGCAGGAUGGGAAAGUGAUCGCGUAUGCGUCUCGCCAACUAAAGGAUUAUGAAAGGAAUUAUCCUACUCACAACUUGGAGUUGGCGGCCGUAGUCUUUGCUUUGAAGCUAUGGCGCCACUAUCUUUAUGGCGAGCGGUGUGAAGUAUAUACGGAUCACAAGAGCUUAAAGUAUUUAUUCACUCAGAAGGAGUUAAACUUGAGGCAGCGCAGAUGGUUGGAGCUGCUCAAGGAUUAUGACUUGACUAUUCUUUACCACCCUGGCAAGGCUAACGUGGUGGCGGAUGCGCUAAGUAGAAAAUCGACGAAAAACUUAGCGAUGCUUAUGGUUACUCAACAGCCGUUGAUCGAGCAGAUGAAGCGGUUGGAGUUGGAGGUGGUGGGUCCUGAUACACCCUUGAGAUUGAUGACCUUGGUGGUGCAACCUACACUUGUGGAAAGGGUUAAAGAAAAGCAAGCUUCCGACUCGGAGUUGCAAAGGAUUCAAACUAAGAUGGUUAAUGGUUGCACUGGUGAUUUCACUACGGACAGUGAUGGAUUGAUGCGUUUUCGCAGACGACUUUGUGUACCGGCGGACUUGGGCGUUAAAGAGGAUAUUCUUCAAGAAGCGCACCGAGCACCGUAUGCUAUACAUCCGGGAGGCACCAAGAUGUACAAGGACUUGAAGUUGCUUUAUUGGUGGCCCGGGAUGAAGAAGGAUGUUGGUGAGUUUGUUGCCAGAUGCUUAACUUGCCAACAGGUGAAAGCUGAGCACCAAGUUCCUGCGGGAAAGUUGCAGAGUUUGCCUAUUCCCGUGUGGAAAUGGGAAAAGAUCACCAUGGAUUUUGUAAUGGGAUUGCCUCGCUCACAGGCUGGGCAUGAUGCUAUUUGGGUGAUCGUGGAUAGAUUGACGAAAUCAGCACAUUUCAUACCUAUCCACACUACUUGGACUGAUGAGAGACUCGCACAGGUUUAUUUGGAUGAGAUUGUACGAUUGCACGGGGUACCUACUUCAAUAGUAUCGGAUCGAGACCCCCGUUUUGUAUCCUAUUUUUGGAGGAGCCUACAGGACGCUUUUGGUAUGCGCUUGGAUUUCAGCACUGCUUUCCACCCCCAGAGUUACGGGCAGUCGGAGCGUACUAUACAGACACUCGAGGACAUGCUUCGGGCCUGCAUGAUUGACUUCCAGGGAGGAUGGUCGCAGCAUCUACCGAUGGCAGAGUUUGCUUAUAACAAUAGUUAUCAAGCAAGCAUCAAGAUGGCACCGUUCGAGGCACUCUAUGGACGGAAAUGUAGAUCGCCACUUCAUUAGAGUGAAGUUGGCGAGAGAUUGGCUUUAGGCCCAGAUGUGUUCCAGGAAGCAGAAGACAAGGUUCGCAUUGCUCGGGAGCGACUGUUGACAGCCCAGAGUAGGCAGAAGAGUUAUGCUGAUCGGCGUCGACAAGACUUGGAAUUUCAGAUUGGAGAUCAUGUCUUCUUGAAAGUCUCGCCGACUCGAGGGAUUAAGAGGUUUGGAAUCCGGGGUAAGUUGAGCCCCCGAUUCAUUGGACCGUAUGAGGUUUUGGAACGUGUAGGCCCGGUGGCGUAUCGACUCGCUCUACCGCCAAACCUAUCGGGUGUACACAAUGUGUUUCAUGUAUCGGUCCUUCGAAAAUACAUCCACGAUCCGGCUCACGUGCUGGACGUCACGCCUAUGGAGCUGAGGGAUGAUUUGAGCUUCGAGGAGCAGCCGUUGAGGAUUUUAGCUCGCGAGGUGAAAAGAUUGCGGAACCGUGAGAUUCCCUACGUGAAGGUGCUUUGGAGCAACCACGACGAGCGCGAGGCCACUUGGGAGCUGGAGAGCGCAUUGAGGGAGCGCUAUCCCUAUCUUUUUCAGAUGGAGACUUGAGGUACUUUGCUUUUCGAGUUUCGCGGACGAAACUCCUUUUUAGGAGGGGUAAAUGUAACACACUGGACCUUUGCAAAUUGCGAGGUUCGAGUGAUUGGAUGUGUUUCGAGCUUCUCCACACUUGGUGGAGGGUCGUAGAAUGUUUUCCAACCUAAGAAGUUCGAAAACUUAAGUUCGAGACGAGUCCUGAGAGUUUUCACUCUCGGGGACCGGUCCCUGAAAGGAGAGACCGGUCCUCCAGUGAACAGUGCUGCGCAACCGGCGAGGCAACCAGUCCAGCGCAGGGAGAGACCGGUUCCCGAACGUUGGUUUUUCGGGUUUGCAGCGAGAGACCGGUCCCUGCUGGGGAGAGACCGAUCCCUCUGGGCGAAAACUGCCCAGACCGGGCUAAUGUAAUAUUGUUUUUUUUUGAGGGGCCGCUUGGAAUUUUGUUGCAAUAGAUGGUCUAUAUGACCCAUCCACCCUCCCUUCUCCUCAUUUCCCUCCUCAUACUCUCCCCACACCCUUGCUAGAGAGAGAAGAAGGAGAAGAAGAGGAAGGAGAAGAAGAGGAGAAGGAUCUAGCUUGGGCUUGAAGCAUUCCUUUGCCUUUCUUCCUCUUCCCACCUUGUUGGUGCUUGAAGGCUUGGACUUGGAGCUUGCAAAGGAGAAGAUCUUCACCCUUGGAGCUUGGAUUGGAGUUCUCUUGAGGUUGGUUGUUUGUUUCUUCCCUCUAGACCUAGCUUUGAUGGAUUUUAGGGGAUGAAAUCCUAGAAUGGGAAAUCUAGGGUUUAUUUGGGGCUUUUUGAUUGAAGGCUUUUUGGGCUAAUCUAAUGAGAUUAGAACCUUGGUUUAGGUUGCUUUGGAAAGAUCCUAGCCUUCUUUUCGAGCUUGAGAGAGAGAUUCUACUCCUUAGGUGAGUUUUAGCCCUAUUCUUGUGAUUGUUAAUGUUUGAGCCUAGAGUUGCUCGUAAUGCUUGUGUAUCUCUUCGCUGAUCACUUUUAGGGUAUUUUGAGACUCGUGGACAACUUCGUUCGGCGAAAUGAAGCCUUACACGACGGUUCGGUGGGUUUGACCUAGCCUUUAAUAUGAGAAAUUCUCAUAUAUGGUGAUAAAUGCUUCGUAAAUUGGAAAAGCAUGCAUAUUCACACUAAAUGUAUUUAU